AAAUUUGAGCCCUGGAUAAAGGUCACUUCAUGUCUAAAUGGUCCAGAAUCUGUUCAGUGUCUCUGAGGUCUGUAGGCAUGGCGCAGGUCACAGCCGAACAUCUGUGUCCUUCUCAGCUGUCUUUCAGAGCAGGUUUGCCAUAUCCACGCUCUGUUGGAGGUAGUCCUGAACCUCCACUCAUUGCCAAAGUGGGCCUGAAAAAUAUUUUAAGAGCAUGUGACAGACGUAGGCAGCUGUGGGACACCUGGCACAAUUUAGGUUACUUGUGUAGGUGUAGCCUGACACAUUCCCUUGCAGAGAGGAUAAAGUUGAACUGGGAUGAAAAAAAAAAAGAGUAAACUGGGACAAAAAGAGUACAGGGAGAAGCUGAAAAGGAGGCUGAUCUGGGACUGAGAUUGGAGGGCAGUGAGUGAAAUGGGAGACAGAGCGCUGAGACUGCAUGAGGAAUGGGGUGGAACAGCAUUGGACUCAGCAAAAAAAUACAAGAUCAAGGGAAUGGCUAAGAAGACAGAUCAAUUAAGGACAGAAAAAGAAACGUUGCUAAUGAGGGAAGGGGAAGCUGAAGGGGUUCGCUAAGCCAAGUCCUCCACAAGAAUAAGGUUAGGACAGAAAUUUCACAGUUUAAAGCAAGUUGGGACUGUGGAUAGGAUACAGCAAUAUUCAGAGUCUGGGCUGGAACCCAGGAUCCCUUUCUAAGUGUUUCUCUGUUGUUAUUUAACCUUCACAAAAUCCUUUGGCAAAUUAUAUCUCAUCUUUGUGUGCCAGUCCUUAACUGGCUGCCAGUAUCAGUUAUUCUUCCAGCCCUGGUCACUGCAGUCUGCUCCAGUUCUGAACAGCAUUAAGGAGCAAUGGAAUCUUUAACAAAGAUGCAGGAGACUAUACAAACCAAACUUCAGUAAAAGAUGGCUUUUCCGAAUUAGAAACCCAGCUGAGACAGGAGACAGGAGCUGAAGGUACAGACUUCCAGCAGGUAUUUCCCUGGCCUAAAGAAAACAAAGAACAUUUUUUCCAGUUCCCUCUUUUUUGGAGAAGUCUUCCAGGUACCAGCACACUUUUCCAGGUAACAGUCAAUCAAUUUGUAAGUUGUCUAUCUGCCAGAUUCUUAUACUAGAUACGUAAUACACAUGCAGCCUUAGUAUAUGCAAAUUCAU